UCCAGAGAUUUCCGAAUGGGGGAACCCAACAUCUUUAAUAGGAUGUUACGAUUGUGUGAAUACAUAGCACAUUCGAGGUAGACGCAGAGAACUGAAACAUCUAAGUACCUGCAGGAAGAGAAAGAAAAUUCGAUUCCCUGAGUAGCGGCGAGCGAAACGGGAAAAGCCCAAACCAGCAAGCUUGCUUGUUGGGGUUGUAGGACUCCAAUAUGGUAGUUCUUUCAGAUAGUCGAAUGACUUGGAAAAGUCAGUCAAAGAGGGUAAAAACCCCGUAGACGAAAUGUGGAAGACACCUAGGAGGAUCCUGAGUACGGCGGAACACGAGAAAUUCCGUCGGAAUCCGGGAGGACCAUCUCCCAAGGCUAAAUACUCCCUAGUGACCGAUAGUGAACCAGUACCGUGAGGGAAAGGUGAAAAGCACCCCGGAAGGGGAGUGAAAUAGAACCUGAAACCGUGUGCCUACAACAAGUCAAAGCCCGUUAAUGGGUGAUGGCGUGCCUUUUGUAGAAUGAACCGGCGAGUUACGAUUGCAUGCGAGGUUAAGUUGAAGAGACGGAGCCGCAGCGAAAGCGAGUCUGAAUAGGGCGUUUGAGUAUGUAGUCGUAGACCCGAAACCAUGUGAUCUACCCAUGUCCAGGUUGAAGGUGCGGUAAAACGCACUGGAGGACCGAACCCACGUACGUUGAAAAGUGCGGGGAUGAGGUGUGGGUAGCGGAGAAAUUCCAAACGAACUUGGAGAUAGCUGGUUCUCUCCGAAAUAGCUUUAGGGCUAGCCUCGGAAUUGAGAAUGAUGGAGGUAGAGCACUGUUUGGACUAGGGGCCCAUCUCGGGUUACCGAAUUCAGAUAAACUCCGAAUGCCAUUCAUUCAUAUCCGGGAGUCAGACUGUGAGUGAUAAGAUCCAUAGUCGAAAGGGAAACAGCCCAGACCACCAGCUAAGGUCCCAAAAUAUAUGUUAAGUGGAAAAGGAUGUGGGGUUGCACAGACAACUAGG
rnacentral:rRNA from 1 species